rnacentral:snoRNA from 1 species
UCCAUAGAGUAUACAUGUAAGAAUAAUAAACUGUCUUUGCUUUUGGAGACUUUAUGGAUUAGGGACCUUGUCACCUUUUGGGGAUUUGGCUGUACCCCUGAAAAUGAAUUUAUUUGAAGGUUCUACACAU